rnacentral:rRNA from 1 species
CAGCCGCCGCGGUAAUUCGGAGGGUGCGAGCGUUGUCCGGAAUCACUGGGCGUAAAGGGCGCGUAGGCGGCGCGGAGAGUCAACGGUGAAAGCUCGGGGCUCAACCCCGAGUCGGCCGUCGAUACUUCCGUGCUGGAGCACUGUAGAGGCAGGUGGAAUUCCGGGUGUAGCGGUGGAAUGCGUAGAGAUCCGGAAGAACACCGGUGGCGAAGGCGGCCUGCUGGGCAGUAGCUGACGCUGAUGCGCGACAGCGUGGGGAGCAAACAGGAUUAGAUACCCUGGCAGUCCACGCCGUAAGCGAUGGGCACUAGGUGCUUGGGGGAGCGACCCUCUGAGUGCCGGCGCUAACGCAUUAAGUGCCCCGCCUGGGGAGUACGGCCGCAAGGCUGAAACUCAAAGGAAUUGACGG